rnacentral:rRNA from 1 species
GCUUGUUGGUGAGGUAGUGGCUCACCAAGGCGACGACGGGUAGCCGGCCUGAGAGGGCGACCGGCCACACUGGGACUGAGACACGGCCCAGACUCCUACGGGAGGCAGCAGUGGGGAAUAUUGCACAAUGGGCGAAAGCCUGAUGCAGCGACGCCGCGUGAGGGAUGACGGCCUUCGGGUUGUAAACCUCUUUCAGCAGGGAAGAAGCGAGAGUGACGGUACCUGCAGAAGAAGCGCCGGCUAACUACGUGCCAGCAGCCGCGGUAAUACGUAGGGCGCGAGCGUUGUCCGGAAUUAUUGGGCGUAAAGAGCUCGUAGGCGGCUUGUCACGUCGGAUGUGAAAGCCCGGGGCUUAACCCCGGGUCUGCAUUCGAUACGGGCAGGCUAGAGUUCGGUAGGGGAGAUCGGAAUUCCUGGUGUAGCGGUGAAAUGCGCAGAUAUCAGGAGGAACACCGGUGGCGAAGGCGGAUCUCUGGGCCGAUACUGACGCUGAGGAGCGAAAGCGUGGGGAGCGAACAGGAUUAGAUACCCUGGUAGUCCACGCCGUAAACGUUGGGAACUAGGUGUGGGCGACA